AUUGAACGCUGGCGGCAGGCCUAACACAUGCAAGUCGAGCGGAUGAAGGGAGCUUGCUCCUGGAUUCAGCGGCGGACGGGUGAGUAAUGCCUAGGAAUCUGCCUGGUAGUGGGGGAUAACGUCCGGAAACGGGCGCUAAUACCGCAUACGUCCUGCGGGUGAAAGUGGGGGAUCUUCUGACCUCACGCUAUCAGAUGAGCCUAGGUCGGAUUAGCUAGUUGGUGGGGUAAAGGCCUACCAAGGCGACGAUCCGUAACUGGUCUGAGAGGAUGAUCAGUCACACUGGAACUGAGACACGGUCCAGACUCCUACGGGAGGCAGCAGUGGGGAAUAUUGGACAAUGGGCGAAAGCCUGAUCCAGCCAUGCCGCGUGUGUGAAGAAGGUCUUCGGAUUGUAAAGCACUUUAAGUUGGGAGGAAGGGCAGUAAGUUAAUACCUUGCUGUUUUGACGUUACCAACAGAAUAAGCACCGGCUAACUUCAUG
rnacentral:rRNA from 1 species